CUCAACAUUCAGCAUCGUUCAACCAACGUUGGUAAAAUGUUACCUUGAUCAUAAAGGGUUACACGCUGGGGACUAGAAGGUUUGGUGCUUCGAUGAUACCAACACAGCGGCAGGCUUACAUGUGUGGGGCUGUUGUGUGCCUCUCAAAUGGACUCCCUUUUGCCUGGGAUUGGUUUUGACUCAUCGCUAUGCAAUCAAACGGCUUGCUGCAUUGUUGUACAGGCGAGCGAGGGCAGUUACAUAGGUGUGCCAGCUGCUAGAAGUGUGUUGGUUAGGUGCCAUCCGGAGUAUAUUCGGUUUGCUAGCAGCAAUAUUUUGCCAGAUAGAGCGGGGGCGAUGGUUUAAACAUUAUUGCUACAUGCUAAUCCAAAAUGGUACCAAAUAUUGCCGGUACUUGCUUUAAAAGUUGAUCAAAAAGUUGAACAUCAUCGAACACUGACGAAGCGCAUAUGUGACGGGAUGUAGCUUCGACCGUCCAUCGUCGGCCAUGAUCGUGGCCACCCGCCAUUGAAGCGCUCUCCACAGUCCGCGGGAGUCAAGAUCACUAAACCGCUCUCCGCGGUCACCAUCGAAUCAUCAACGUGUUUGAGCCGACAGUGGAUUCGGUGAGCGUGUGUUAGUGGAUUGUUCGGAUGGCGCAUGCACACCCCACCAACCUCUACUUGCAGGACAAAUGCAAACUCAAACUCUAGACAUGGACAUCAAAGGUUCAUUAGAGUUUUACUGUAGUCUCCUAAAGUUAAAACAGGUAGUAUAAACGUCAGAUUCGGAUCGUCAAUGAAUUUGCCACAAAUUCACUUUGGACAACACUUCGUCGCUAUUUAGAGACUGUAUUCCAAACAUUGCGUGUUGUGUGUGAUACGUAGCAUCGCCUAUUAGCCCAGAUUAGCUGUUAAAAAAUGCAUUUGAUUUGAGGGUUAGUAAGAAUGUUAAUAUUUAACUUAUUCCAAUUUAAAUUGGUUCAUAUCCCUAAACCGAUCAAUUCACAUAUAACCACAACUAAUCAGUGACAUAGCCAGGCAAACCGAAAACGGUUGCUGCACCAAAUAAGGAAUAAUUUUAAAUGUAUUUGGUAGAAAAUAGCAUAAAAUCAUACCGAACCAUUUCUACGACAAAACGGGCUUUAUGUAUAUGAAAUAAACUGAU